AUUGAACGCUGGCGGCAGGCCUAACACAUGCAAGUCGAACGGUAACAGAGAGCAGCUUGCUGCUCUGCUGACGAGUGGCGGACGGGUGAGUAAUGUCUGGGAAACUGCCUGAUGGAGGGGGAUAACUACUGGAAACGGUAGCUAAUACCGCAUAACGUCUACGGACCAAAGUGGGGGACCUUCGGGCCUCAUGCCAUCAGAUGUGCCCAGAUGGGAUUAGCUAGUAGGUGGGGUAACGGCUCACCUAGGCGACGAUCCCUAGCUGGUCUGAGAGGAUGACCAGCCACACUGGAACUGAGACACGGUCCAGACUCCUACGGGAGGCAGCAGUGGGGAAUAUUGCACAAUGGGCGCAAGCCUGAUGCAGCCAUGCCGCGUGUAUGAAGAAGGCCUUCGGGUUGUAAAGUACUUUCAGCGGGGAGGAAGGUGUUGUGGUUAAUAACCACAGCAAUUGACGUUACCCGCAGAAGAAGCACCGGCUAACUCCGUGCCAGCAGCCGCGGUAAUACGGAGGGUGCAAGCGUUAAUCGGAAUUACUGGGCGUAAAGCGCACGCAGGCGGUCUGUUAAGUCAGAUGUGAAAUCCCCGGGCUCAACCUGGGAACUGCAUUUGAAACUGGCAGGCUUGAGUCUCGUAGAGGGGGGUAGAAUUCCAGGU
rnacentral:rRNA from 1 species